CUGAUUAGUAGAUGACCUGCUCCACCUCCUGAGCCACAGCCGCCCCUUUUAGAGGUAAAGAAUAAUUUAGAAAGAGCUGGCGUCAUGUUGUGGAAGCUGCCAUCUUGCCCCACCAUCAUACACUGGCUGAGAUGGGCAUCGCUGCUGCGCCUUUUCACGUUUUAUGCAUUACGCUGACGGACGGAUGGAUGGACCAUGAAUGCUUCCUCAUCCUUCUUGUCAUGCACCAUGGAAGUGUCUGAGGGGCUUUUCCACUUGGAAUGGGGAUACUGUGUCCACACUUCAGAGGUGGAGUUUCCAGCAUCUCACCUGAGCCUCAUCUGCAAACAAUCAGCAGGAGGGCUUCUUAAACCAGCGCUGCCUGCUACUCCUCGCCAGUUUGUUCUGCCAUCUCCAGUGGUCUCCUCUGCCAACCUACUCAUCCUACCCUCAAACUCCCUUACCCAUCCAGCAACAACUUCUCCCUCUGUUGCAGAAUUCCCGUUGGAUUGUUCCCAUCAGGAGCCAGGUGUUCAGUCUCUCGAUAGCUUUUCCUCUGGUUCCUGCUCUCUGCUGACACUCCUAGCUCGAGCCACGUUCUCCAUUCCCUCUCUUUAAACAAAGUCUCAUUAAUAGUUUAACCAUGUGCAUUGAAUCUGCAUUUGGGUCUAAGCUUUCUAUGGAGGGAAGAAAUCAUCACAGUGACAUCUAUUCAAUUUUUUAAUUCAAUUUUAUUUAAAGAGCGCCAAAUGACAGCAACAGUCACCUGAAGGCGCUUUAUAU